ensembl:piRNA 21ur-14501 ncRNA
UUAUCUGAAGUUGCGAUAACU